rnacentral:tRNA from 1 species
GGCGAUUUAGCUCAGUGGUAUAAGCACCUGCCUUGUAAGCAGGCAGUCAUGAGUUCGAUCUCUGAUACCG